GGCUUCAACUGGCUGGGAACUGACUUGUGAAGAGAUGGAGACACUGAAUGAUUUGUCGGCCCCUGUGAAAAGAUAUCCGCAUUGCUUCAUUGCUAAGUCUAAUGCUAAUCGCCUGAAGUAACGCAGCUAUCACUAUACGUUUCACAUGUAUUAUAUACACCACAUUAUGGGUGUAUACACACUAUCCCAUGGAUGUAUACAUAUACAUAUGGAAACACAUACACAGUAUACCACAGAAGUACAUAUACAUACAUAUCUAUCUAUCUCUCUAACCCUCUAUCUAUCUAUCUAUCUAUCUAUCUGUCUAUAUAUAUAUAUAUAUAUAUAUAUAUAUAUAUAUACUUUAUUUAAAAGCAGCAAAAAUAUAACAAAAGACUGUUACUCGGAGUUUCACGUUCCCGUUCAUCGGACAGUAUAUAUAUAUAUAUGUAUAUGUAUGCUCUUUUACUUCAGUCAUUUGACUGCGGCCAUGCUGGAGCACCGCCUUUAGUCGAGCAAAUCGACCCCAGGACUUAUUUUUUGUAAGCCUAGUA